CUUGGUCAUUUAGAGGAAGUAAAAGUCGUAACAAGGUUUCCGUAGGUGAACCUGCGGAAGGAUCAUUCAUAAUAAGUGUUUUAUGGCACUUUUUAAAUCCAUAUCCACCUUGUGUGCAAUGUCAGUCGAUCUCCUUCAUGGAGAUCGGCCAAACAUCAACCUUAUUUUUUAACUCUUUGUCUGAAAAAUAUUAUGAAUAAACAAUUCAAAAUACAACUUUCAACAACGGAUCUCUUGGCUCUCGCAUCGAUGAAGAACGCAGCGAAAUGCGAUACGUAAUGUGAAUUGCAGAAUUCAGUGAAUCAUCGAAUCUUUGAACGCAUAUUGCGCUCUUUGGUAUUCCGAAGAGCAUGCUUGUUUGAGUAUCAGUAAACACCUCAAAGCUUUUGGAUUUUUUUUGAAAGCUUUGGACUUGAGCAAUCCCAACGCCAAUCUUUUUCAGAUCGGCGGGGGGUUGCUUGAAAUGCAGGUGCAGCUGGACUUUCUCCUGAGCUAAAAGCAUAUUCAUUUAGUCCCGUCAAACGGAUUAUUACUUUUGCUGCAGCUAACAUAAAGGGAGUUUGACCGUAUUGGCUGACUGAUGCAGGAUUUUACAAGGGUCGGCAACGAUUCUUGUUAAACUCGAUCUCAAAUCAAGUAAGACUACCCGCUGAACUUAAGCAUAUCAAUAAGCGGAGGA
rnacentral:rRNA from 1 species